GUCAGACCCACCAGGACCUGCAGGUGCACUGUGAGCACACUGGGAGGCAGAGCAGAGCCCGCCCCACACCCCCUCUUCUGACACCUCCAGCCACAAGCUCCUGUCUGCAGUCAGGCCUCCUCUGCCUGGCCCUGCAGCCCUCGCUUGCCUUGCUCCAGUGUGGCAGCCACAGGGUCCUGAACUCCUGGGUCCUGCAGUCCUCAGCCCCCUCCUCUGUUUCUCAGGCCCCAAGGUCAGAUCACCAGACCUAGAGGCCAGGGUCAAGUGUUGGGGUAGUGUCACCUCCAGGGCUGGGCUGCAGGAUCCAGGAGGGCUGGGCGACAGCUCUUCUCCCCAGACCCCGUCCAGUCUGAAGGUGGCGCUUGGAGCCUGGCUGUUUCUCUCACCAUCCACCAUUAACAGAGGGCCUUCCAGGUGGAACCCUGUGCCCUGGGUGCAGAACUGGACUCCAACAGAACUGCAGGAGCGGUUCAGCAGGAGGGGAAGGAAGGACACUGUCUGUUGGGGGGAGGUGGACUGAGAGGAGUUCCCGGGGGCACAACCAGGUGACAGGCACUGCCCAGUGUCUGGAGCAUGUCUGUGGGUGCAGUACCACACUCCACCCACACCGAAGGGGUGCAGCCUACCACAGGACACCAGGCUGGACACCCCUCACACAGAGGGCUUGCAGCUGCCGGGGUGCCCAUGGGGCUACCCAUUGCUGUGCAUGGACCGCAGGCAGCCUUUUCAGGGACCUCUGGAGUAUCCCUUCCUGCCCUCAUGAGAUGUGCUGGCCCACAUGUGGCUGCAUGGCCAGCUCCUGGAUGCUUGUCCCACAACAGGGUGCCCGUGGCCACCACAGUUGCCUGGUGCCCAAGUCUCCUUUCCAGCCCCCAUGGCCUCUGGGCAGGCACCAG
rnacentral:lncRNA from 1 species